GUGCUCGCUUCAGCAGCGCAUAAACUCAAAUUGGAAUGAUACAGAGAUUAGCAUGGCCCCUGUGCAAGGAUGACACAUAAAUUCGUGAAGUGUUCUAUAUUUAA
ensembl:snRNA U6 U6 spliceosomal RNA